UACGUAGGGUGCGAGCGUUUAAUCGGAAUUACUGGACGUAAAGCGUGCGCAGGCGGUUUUGUAAGCCAGAUGUGAAAUCCCCGGGCUUAACCUGGGAAUGGCAUUUGGGACUGCAAGGCUUGAGUGCGGCAGAGGAGACUGGAAUUCCUGGUGUAGCAGUGAAAUGCGUAGAUAUCAGGAGGAACACCGAUGGCGAAGGCAGGUCUCUGGGCUGACACUGACGCUCAUGCACGAAAGCGUGGGGAGCAAACAGG
rnacentral:rRNA from 1 species